GCAACAACAACAAAAAAAACAAAAAAGACUGAAUGGCUCAUUGGUCACCAAAACUGAAGUCGCCAUCCCCCAUCUUGAUACUCCCAAAACAACCAUGCCGACCUGUGCAGUGGCUGUGAAAAAACAUUCCACAGACUGACAGUCCUUCCUUCAGAAGGUCACGCUGCGUUUUUGCUCAUUGAUCCAGUCCCCCGGAUUGACGUCCAUCUGGAGCAUCUUCAUCACCCACUUGUCCCUCCGCGCUCCGUCGAUGAACUCAUCCAGGGAGAGUUCACCUAGAGUUCUCAAAGAACCGACCAGGAACGCACCCACUUCAGCAUCCAGUGUGCACGCGGCACGAUUAGCGGCGAGCGAGCUUUUCCGUCAACGCUCCUCAAAGCCAUUAACGCUCUCGCCGAACUCUUAAAUCAUCCACACGCGGUCCUUUAAGAGGUCAGAAAACUGUCGCAAACACUCACCGUCUCCAUUUUCAUCGACCAGCUCAAAUAUCCGGUCCACGACCUGGUCUGGGGUCAGAAGAUUGCACUCUGCGUCCAGCUCUCCGUGACAGGCUUUCUUCAGUCGAUAAAUAGACUUGAGAGUGACAGGGCACGAUGUUCGGAUGAGUCUCGAGUCAAAUACGUUCAUGUACAUGAUUAAAAGUUGUUCUUGAAUGUCAAUAACGCAAAUCAAAGCGUACCUCCACAAUU